CCCCUAGAUGUUCUGGGCCGCACGCGCGCUACACUGAACAGUUCAACAAGUCUUAACCUUGGCCGAUAGGUCUGGGCAAUCUUUGAACGCUGGUCGUGAUGGGGAUAGACUUUUGCAAUUUUUGGUCUUCAACGAGGAAUUCCUAGUAAACGCAAGUCAUCAACUUGCAUUGAUUACGUCCCUGCCCUUUGUACACACCGCCCGUCGCACCUACCGAUUGAAUGGUCCGGUGAAGCCUCCGGAUUGGCGCGCACCUCGGUGCCGCCGAGAAGUUGGCUAAACCUUACCAUUUAGAGGAAGGUGAANUCGUANCA
rnacentral:rRNA from 1 species